CGGAGGUAAGACGAGCCUUGGGGCCCUCUGACACCACCCAAACCCAUCACGCCCUGCGUGAGCAGCCGCCCUGCAGCUUGGAAGGGACGUUGGCACCGGAGCCGCCUGCUCUGCCCCGCAGGAGGGGGAGGUGGAAAGAAAGGUGUCCCUGGGGCGGCCUCACUGUUGGUAAAAA